rnacentral:lncRNA from 1 species
UUCAUUCUUACUACUCAUUUUUUUCUCUCGUCUUCAUCCUUCUCUCUACAAACACCAAACCUUCACUCUUUACCUCCAUUUUUGAGCUUCAAGGAAGCUUCAAACUCAAAAACCUUCCACUUCAAAGUUUUCUAUUACACGAGAAGAUCACAGAGCUAAAGAUUGUAAGGUGUGAAAUAUAUUUCUCCUCUCUUCUCUCCCUCACCUGCGAGCAUGAAUAGUAAAGGAGUUGUGUGAUUUUUGUGUUCUAUAUUUAACCUUUCUUGUUUAUUAUUGUUAUUAUUAAUGUUUAGAAAGAUAAAGGAGAC